UAGCUCAGUAUGACAUUGUGUAACCUGGAAUAGAGACUACGUAGGUUUGUUUGGUAUCUCAGUAUUACAUUGUGUAACCUGGAAUAGAGACUACGUAGGUUUGUUUGGUAUCUCAGUAUUACAUUGGGUAACCUGGAAUAAAGACUACGUAGGUUUGUUUGGUAUCUCAGUAUUACAUUGUGUAACCUGGAAUAGAGACUACGUAGGUUUGUUUGGUAUCUCAGUAUUACAUUGGGUAACCUGGAAUUGAGACAAC
rnacentral:lncRNA from 1 species